GAUGAACGCUGGCGGCGUGCCUAAUACAUGCAAGUCGAGCGAACAGACGAGGAGCUUGCUCCUCUGACGUUAGCGGCGGACGGGUGAGUAACACGUGGAUAACCUACCUAUAAGACUGGGAUAACUUCGGGAAACCGGAGCUAAUACCGGAUAACAUGUUGAACCGCAUGGUUCAACAGUGAAAGACGGUCUUGCUGUCACUUAUAGAUGGAUCCGCGCCGCAUUAGCUAGUUGGUAAGGUAACGGCUUACCAAGGCAACGAUGCGUAGCCGACCUGAGAGGGUGAUCGGCCACACUGGAACUGAGACACGGUCCAGACUCCUACGGGAGGCAGCAGUAGGGAAUCUUCCGCAAUGGGCGAAAGCCUGACGGAGCAACGCCGCGUGAGUGAAGAAGGUCUUCGGAUCGUAAAACUCUGUUAUUGGGGAAGAACAAAUGUGUAAGUAACUAUGCACGUCUUGACGGUACCUAAUCAGAAAGCCACGGCUAACUACGUG
rnacentral:rRNA from 1 species